UGGAUCACGAUAAUUCUUUCUCCCUGAUUUUUUCUGAAAAAAUAGUAUUUUAUAACGUCGGUUUCAGGGUCUACGGGGCCACCAGAUAGGGAUAACCCACCUGGGCGCGCCUGGGGGGGGCAGGCGCGCCCUAGUGUGUUGUGCCCAACCAGGUGCCCCCCUCAGGUGACUCUUGUCUCCAAAAAUUCUCUUUAUUGAUAUAAAAAAUCCUUGCAAAGUUUUAUUCCAUUCCGAGAACUCUUAUUUCUGCACAAAAACAACACCAUGGUAGUUCUCCUGAAAAUAGCGCCAGCCCGGGGUUAGUUUCAUUCAAAUCAUGCAAAUUAGAGUCCAAAACAAAAGGAAAAGCAUUAGAAAAAGUAGAUACGUUGGAGUUGUGCAGAAUAGGUCUCUAAUAUUUGAUCCUUUUCUAACUGAGAAUUCCAGCUGCCGGCAUUCUUCCUCUUCAUGUAAACAUUAUAAAAUAAGACAGAAACAACAUAAGUAUUGUGAUAUAAUCUAUACCUAAUAUUAAAAUACGGAGGCUUUCAUAGUUCUCCAUAUGUCGUCUCUUUAUAUCCAUUGAUUUUUUGUUAACCACAAAGAUCGGCAGCUGAGAUUUAAAAAAAUACUAAUCAUACUAAUAUUUUACUUUCAUCUGUCCUGGACCGAGCGAGUAGCAAAAGAUAGUAGAUAGCAGAGUUCGAACCCAUGACCUACGAUCUGGCAGAGAGGCACCUUCCAACUGAGAUACAUAUAUUCAGCCGGGUUCGUUUUCUUAAUAGUCUCACACCGAUUCUGCAAACCAAAUUCAACCUAUUUAUAUAGGUUUACAAAUUGCCUUUCAACAAGCCUUGAGAAAGAAUUAACUCCACAAAACCUGUUGAUCAAUGCAUCUGACAAUUAAAUCGAGGAAAGGAGGAGGGACAUCAGUGGAAACUACUCCAUCUGUCACGGUGCGAAUAGGCUGGCAAUUAAUCAGGAAAAAAGGAAACUAGCAAUUAAUCAAGAAAAAAAGGAAAGAGAAAAUGGAGUGCUGCUGUUGCUGUGCUCUCCUUGCUACUGUGCACCUACCGGACCUCACCUCUCCCUACAUGGCCCAGCGCGGCACUGCCGGUGUUGUUGUUGUGCUCACCCUGGCUGGACACCCCGCGGCCGCAAUCUCCUCAUGGAGUCCUGGUGGCAAAACCUGCGGCGACAGGGAGAAUUGUUAGAAGAGGGAGGCGGGAGAGGGGGAGAGUUUCGUGGCAGGGAGGGGAGGACGUAGAGGAGGAAGAUGGAGGAAGAAGGGAGAGGAGUGAUGGAGGAGGCAAGGCAGUGAAAGAUGCUACAGCCGCCAUUAUUCCAAGAAGAGAGAGAUGUGGUGGGUGGGUGAGAUGUGAGAGAGAGCCAGAUGGGUGGGAUGGGGUCAUCCUCUUUUCCAGCAGCAUCGGCGGCUAUGUCGGAAUCGUGGCGGCUGUGCAGACUGUAUGUGACUCGUGGGCAUGGUGUGCGUGGCUGGCAUGCGGAGGCUCUGUCCAGU
rnacentral:lncRNA from 1 species